UAAAAAUAAUAACAACGUUGCGAAAUAAUUUAAUAAUUAAUCACUAAUCACAUGGAAAUUUUUAUCCUGUUAUGAUUAAUGCAAAUCUGAGUGCCUAAAAAAUACAUUAAAUGGAUAUUUUGUUGUAAUUGUGAUAACAUAUAUACGUUUGUAGUUAUGUCUUUGAAACAAUAACACAGGUGAAAUUUAAAAACGGACUUUUAAAUUGCUCACCUGUUUAUACUGCUCACUUAACAAAACAACCGCGAGUAUAAAAAGCUGGACGUUGCUGUCCAAAAAUUACAAUCCAAAAAUUCACCUAAAUCUCAAUCAGAAUUUAAAUCAUAGAACAUCAAGAUGCGUUUCGUAUUUGCCAUUAUGCUGCUCGUCAUCAUGAUUGUCUACGUGCAAAGCAGUUGUGACAAUGUUAUUAAUGAUGGCAAUCAAGCGGUAGGGGGCUUAGCUGCUGUGAAUGUUGAAGCCUUGUCCCAGCAUUCUAAUAAUAUCAACAGCAAAUAAUUAGAAUUAUUAGUCUUAGUAGCAAGGUGUAAAACUUAAUACUUGAGACCGCAACAUUUCUUCAACAACACAUCUGCAAUGAGACUCUUUAUAUUAUACUAUCACUACAUAACCUAAUUUGGUUAGCGGGAUUAAAUCCCCAUCUUGUAAUAAUCUAUCUGAAAAAAUAAAGUAAUAUUAAAUUUAAUA